UAUGAGAGCUCUGUAAGGUCAGGCUGUUGUUUAGUCUAUCUCUGUUAUGAGAGCUCUGUAAUGUCAGGCUGUUGUUUAGUCUAUCUCUGUUAUGAGAGCUCUGUAAGGUCAGGCUGUUCUUCAUUUUAUCUCUGUUAUGAGAGCUCUGUAAGGUCAGGCUGUUGUUUAGACUAUUUCUCUGUUAUGAGAGCUCUGUAAGGUCAGGCUGUUGUUUAGUCUAUCUCUGUUAUGAGAGCUCUGUAAGGUCACGCUGUUCUUCAGUCUAUGUCUGUUAUGAGAGCUCUGUAAGGUCAGGCUUUUCUUCAGUCUAUCUCUCUGUUAUGAGAGCUCUGUAAGGUCAGGCUGUUGUUUGGACUAUCUCUCUGUUAUGAGAGCUCUGUAAGGUCAGGCUGUUGUUUAGUCUAUCUCUCUGUUAUGAGAGCUCUGUAAGGUCAGGCUGUUGUUUAGAUUAUCUCUCUGUUAUGAGAGCUCUGUAAGGUCAGGCUAUUGUUUAGACUAUCUCUCUGUUAUGAGAGCUCUGCAAGGUCAGGCUGUUCUUCAGUCUAUCUCUCUGUUAUGAGAGCUCUGUAAGGUCACGCUGUUCUUCAGUCUAUCUCUCUGUUAUGAGAGCUCUGUAAGUUCAGGCUGUUCUUCAGUCUAUCUCUGUUAUGAGAGCUCUGUAAGGUCACGCUGUUCUUCAGUCUAUCUAUCUGUUAUGAGAGCUUUGUAAGGUCACGCUGUUCUUCAGUCUAUCUCUCUGUUAUGAGAGCUCUGUAAGGUCUGGGUGUGCUUUGUUCUGCACCGUGUGGUACUCUAUGUGCUCUAUAAUCUGUGUGUUUUGUGUGCUACAAGAGUGUGUGUGUAUGUGUGUGUGUAGUAUCUUGUCUUAUCUGCAGUUGUUCAGUACAGCAAGACGAGUCAGUGGCUAUGACCACUUCCUGUCAGCUGUUUUCAGUACACUAUCACAUCUCUCUCUUUCUCUCUGUCUGCUGGGUUCAGUACAGUAUCACAUCUCUCUCUAUCUCUCUGUCUGCUGGGUUUAGUACAGUAUCACAUCUCUCUCUAUCUCUCUGUCAGCUGGGUUCAGUACAGUAUCACAUCUCUAUCUCUCUGUCAGCUGGGUUCAGUACAGUAUCACAUCUCUCUCUCUAUCUCUCUGUCAGCUGGGUUCAGUACAGUAUCACAUCUCUCUCUAUCUCUCUGUCAGCUGGGUUUAGUACAGUAUCACAUCUCUCUCUAUCUCUCUGUCAGCUGGGUUUAGUACAGUAUCACAUCUCUCUCUAUCUCUCUGUCAGCUGGGUUCAGUACAGUAUCACAUCUCUCUCUCUAUCUCUCUGUCAGCUGGGUUUAGUACAGUAUCACAUCUCUCUCUAUCUCUCUGUCAGCUGGGUUUAGUACAGUAUCACACCUCUCUCUAGCUCUCUGUCAGCUGGGUUCAGUACAGUAUCACAUCUCUCUCUAUCUCUCUGUCAGCUGGGUUUAGUACAGUAUCACAUCUCUCUCUAUCUCUCUGUCAGCUGGGUUUAGUACAGUAUCACAUCUCUCUCUAGCUCUCUGUCAGCUGGGUUCAGUACAGUAUCACAUCUCUCUCUUUCUCUCUGUCAGCUGGGUUUAGUACAGUAUCACAUCUCUCUCUAUCUCUCUGUCAGCUGGGUUCAGUACAGUAUCACAUCUCUCUAUCUCUCUGUCAGCUGGGUUUAGUACAGUAUCACAUCUCUCUCUAUCUCUCUGUCAGAUGGGUUCAGUACAGUAUCACAUCUCUCUCUAUCUCUCUGUCAGCUGGGUUCAGUACAGUAUCACAUCUCUCUCUCUUUCUCUCUGUCAGCUGGGUUCAGUACAGUAUCACAUCUCUCUCUAUCUCUCUGUCAGCUGGGUUUAGUACAUCUCUCUAUCUCUCUGUCAGCUGGGUUCAGUACAGUAUCACAUCUCUAUCUCUCUGUCAGCUGGGUUCAGUACAGUAUCACAUCUCUAUCUCUCUGUCAGCUGGGUUCAGUACAGUAUCACAUCUCUAUCUCUCUGUCAGCUGGGUUCAGUACAGUAUCAGUAACCCCCUACACACAUCUCUCUCUAUCUCUCUGUCAGCUGGGUUCAGUACAGUAUCAGUAACCCCCUACAGACAUCUCUCUCUCAGGUUCCACCUCUCUCUGUCUGUUUCCAUCUCUCUCUGCCUCUAUCUCCAUGUCUAAUAUACAUCCCUCUCUCUCUCUCUCUCUCUCUCUCUCUCUCUCUCUCUGUCUCUUUCUCUCUCUCUGUGUGUGUCUCUGUGUGUCUCUUUCUCUCUGUGUGUCUCUCUCUCUCUCUGUGUCUCUCUCUCUGUGUCUAUCUGUCUCUCUCUCUCUCUCUCUCUCUCUCUAUCUUGUGGUGUCUUCUGAGGUACAACAACAGGAAACAGCUGAAGAGUCUUGUUCGUGGGUUUCCUCUCAGUUCUCUGAAAACGUCCCCAUACCUCACAAUAACUAACAAGCAUGUGUUCCAUAUUCAGAGAGAAAACAAGCAUGUGUCCCACAAGCAGAAGAUGGUGGCCUUCCUUCUCUGCACUCCUUCAUCCCUGCAUGUCACAACUCAGAGAUGAUAGUAACUAACGUGGUUGCUAGGCUAAUACUCAGAUAUGUAAUAUAACACUUGAAUGAUUUAUAGAUGUUCAAAUAGGCCUAUUUUUCCUUAAUCUGUCAGUUCCAUGUAUUCAGUAUUAACAAAACCAGCAACAUCUACCUCUACAACACUUGAGAAUCUGAGUAGAGUUACUGUACUAACUGUGCAUCAUUUCAACUCAACACACUCCUAGGAUGAACCCACUUUCCACACUGGUGCAAUAUGGGUAUCAAAGGACAGCGAAGAAAGAAAAGCAUGGGAGACUUUGAGGAACUAAACCUCCUGUUCUUUCUACUGACGUAAUCUUUGUGAAAUGGCUGGUUGGUUUUCCUCCUCUUUGGGUUUUUUCUCCCCGUCAGCAGAAGGUCACAGUCCACAGAGGAAAAUGACCUUCAGUCCUGCUGUGAAUGAAUGUCAGUGUGUGUGUGUGUGUGUGUGUGUGUGUGUGUGUGUGUGUGUGUGUGUGUGUGUGUG
rnacentral:lncRNA from 1 species